GACGAACGCUGGCGGCGUGCUUAACACAUGCAAGUCGAACGAUGGAGCCGGAGCUUGCUCUGGUGAAUUAGUGGCGAACGGGUGAGUAACACGUGAGUAACCUGCCCUUGACUCUGGGAUAACUGCGGGAAACUGUAGCUAAUACCGGAUACGACCCUCGGAGGCAUCUCCUGGGGGUGGAAAGAAUUUCGGUCAAGGAUGGACUCGCGGCCUAUCAGCUAGUUGGUGAGGUAAAGGCUCACCAAGGCGACGACGGGUAGCCGGCCUGAGAGGGUGACCGGCCACACUGGGCCUGAGACACUGCCCAGGCUCCUACGGGAGGCAGCAGUGGGGAAUAUUGCACAAUGGGCGCAAGCCUGAUGCAGCAACGCCGCGUGAGGGAUGACGGCCUUCGGGUUGUAAACCUCUUUUAGCAGGGAAGAAGCGAAAGUGACGGUACCUGCAGAAAAAGCACCGGCUAACUACGUGCCAGCCGCCGCGGUAA
rnacentral:rRNA from 1 species